rnacentral:rRNA from 2 species
GGGUUGUGAGGUUAAGCGACUAAGCGUACACGGUGGAUGCCCUGGCAGUCAGAGGCGAUGAAGGACGUGCUAAUCUGCGAUAAGCGUCGGUAAGGUGAUAUGAACCGUUAUAACCGGCGAUUUCCGAAUGGGGAAACCCAGUGUGUUUCGACACACUAUCAUUAACUGAAUCCAUAGGUUAAUGAGGCGAACCGGGGGAACUGAAACAUCUAAGUACCCCGAGGAAAAGAAAUCAACCGAGAUUCCCCCAGUAGCGGCGAGCGAACGGGG